GUUAUUUUUUUUCUCAUUUAGAGUGAAUUUGUUUUUCCAAAAUCACUUGAAGAAGAAUUCUAAAUUGUAGUUGGAAGGCAAAUAUCCAGGUUUCAUCCAGAGUAUCCUGCAAGCAGAAAUGAAGCAACAACCUCAAGAAUGAGCUCAAACAUAUUCCUCUACCAAGGAAUCAGGAGGAUUUGCUAUCAGGAUUGGCAUAGCAGAUUUGUGAUGUUCUGAGUUUGGAAAGGUCACCAAAGAUUGUUAAGAACAGCUGAAGAACAUUGCUGACAUCCAAACACUUGUGCUCUGAUGCCAGAGAAUGGAAGGAAGAUAAAGGGAGAAAUAAAAUGAAGGCAUGAAGAUGCAUGGUGAUAAGUGAUUUUGAAGUGAUGGAUGAGAGUUCACAUCAGGGUACUUUGGGAAGGAGACUAAGCAGCACUUUAGAAGAUGAUUCU
rnacentral:lncRNA from 1 species